rnacentral:rRNA from 1 species
CCUACGGGAGGCAGCAGUGGGGAAUAUUGGGCAAUGGAGGAAACUCUGACCCAGCGACGCCGCGUGCGGGAUGAAGGCCUUCGGGUUGUAAACCGCUUUCAGUAGGGAAGGAGCGAAAGUGACGGUACCUACAGAAGAAGCACCGGCUAACUAUGUGCCAGCAGCCGCGGUAAUACAUAGGGUGCAAGCGUUGUCCGGAAUUAUUGGGCGUAAAGAGCUCGUAGGUGGUUCGUCACGUCGGAUGUGAAAAUCUGGGGCUCAACCCCAGACCUGCAUUCGAUACGGGCGAUCUAGAGUGUGGUAGGGGAGACUGGAAUUCCUGGUGUAGCGGUGGAAUGCGCAGAUAUCAGGAGGAACACCAAUGGCGAAGGCAGGUCUCUGGGCCAUUACUGACACUGAGGAGCGAAAGCGUGGGGAGCGAACAGGAUUAGAUACCCUGGUAGUCCACGCCGUAAACGGUGGGCACUAGUUGUGGGAACCUUCCACGGUUUCUGCGACGCAGUCUAACGCUAUUAAGUCGCCCCGCCGUAGGGGAGUACGAGCGACGAAGUAAACUUAAAACGUACUAAAGUAAGUAAGUUAGUUACGGUCGUUAGAGACGCGACGACGGACGACGACGAGGGAGGAGG